rnacentral:rRNA from 1 species
UACAGAGGGUGCGAGCGUUAAUCGGAAUUACUGGGCGUAAAGCGUGCGUAGACGGUUUUGUAAGUCAGUUGUGAAAUCCCCGGGCUCAACCCGGGAACUGCUUCUGAUACUGGCGGACUUGAGGCCAGUAGGGGUCACUAGAACUGACGGUGGAGCGGUGAAAUGCGUAGAUAUCGUCAGGAAUGCCGGUGGUGAAGACGGGUGACUGGGCUGGUUCUGACACUGAGGCACGAAAGCGUGGGGAGCGAACGGG